AUAACGCAGCCAACUGCGGGUCUUUGUGUGAAUUGCAGGAUACAUUGAGCACUUAUUUUUCGAACACGUAUUGCGGUCUCGGGUGAUAGCCGGGGCCUCGCCUAUCUGAGGGUCA
rnacentral:rRNA from 1 species